AACAGAGAGAGAGAGAGAGGGAGAGAGAGAAAGGACCCCUCCAAAGAUUUUGCCAAUUGCCACAAAGCCCAAACCACACCCAAAGGCCGAAGGUAUUGUUGAUUUGCAGAGAGAAUCCAAAGGACGAAAGAGAGACUGAAACUGCAUAGCCAGAGAUAUACGGAAAAACAAAAGAGAUACACUAUUAAUCUUCUUAAUUAUUUCCAAUCAACUCCUCUUUCUUCUUAUCCAAUCCGCGUAAGUCCUCUUCGUAUUACUUACUACUCACUUUGCUUUUCUUUGUUUUCUUCUUCUUUCUCCGUUCAUACAAAUAAUUGCUCAAAUUUUUUUUUCUUUUAUUAAUAACACAAACCUGGACAGAUCUAAUCUAAUCUAGUUUGGGGUUUUGGUUUUCAAAUUAGAGUGUUAAGAGUUCUGGCUUUGAUCAUUUGUUGUUGUGCCUUAGCUGGAUGAAAUUUGGAGAUCUGGGUUGGCCAAUUUUCUGAGCGGUGAUUCAUUUUUUUUUUCUUCCUCGGGUUUUGGGAUUGUGGGCUGUUUUUGUUAUUGAAAUUUUGAUUGUUCGUGGUUGUUUUUGGGGGUAUCGGUUGUUCUCAUUUUUGACGAAUUUGGUUGUUCAAGAGGGGAUUUUGAAUUCGGAAACUUACAAGUUGUUGAAAUAAUUGGUGUUUCUUUCUCUUAAUCUGGAUCGUUGUUCCUUGGAUUCAGAUUGGUGAGCUUUGAUAUAAUAGUAAAAAAGGUUGGAUUUUCAUUUAAUUCUCCUCGUUUUUGUUUCUGAGUUUUCCCUAUUUCAUGAAACCAUUUACGAAUUAGGGGUUUUAGAUUUUCAAUCUCUUAAAAAAAAAAAAAAAUCCCACUUCCCCCCCUAUUUGAAUAGGUUCGAUUCUGUAUUUUAACCGGAUUUUGAGGGACUCGGGUGCUUCAGUUAUUGAUUUUUGGCUGCCGAUUUCAUUGUGGUAAGGAAGAAAGAAGGCUUUGGAUUGGACUGGCUUCGUGAAUUUGAAGCUGUUCCAGUGCUGAAUUACAGAGACAUGUUGGAGGGUCGGUCCUGUCUGUUUUCAAGGGCAUUACCGAGCUCCUGCGAACAAGAAAGCAACUGGUCUUACAUGACUUACCGGGUCGAGAAAAAAGAGAAACGCCCAUUAGAAAUUGAUGCAGAAGAAGAACUCCAAGUUGAAGAUGCAAAUGGAAAGUGCCCACCAGAUAUUGAUGCCCAAGAAAAACAAGUCAUCCCAGCCAUAAAAAGGAGACGCCCAUUAGAAUUUGAUAGCGAAGAAGAGUUCCGAAUCAACCUGGCAAUUGGAAAGUGCCCACUGGAAAUUGAUUUAGAAGACCAACACCACCCUGAUGUUGCAGGUGGGAAGCGGCCACUAGAAAUUGAUGGAGAAGAACCCCAACUAAGUUCGUUCUUUAAGCUGACCGAAGCUCGUGAAAGUGUCGAACCAACUCCGACCAUAAGUGAUCUCACAUUAUCCCCUGAAGAUCAAUCCCAUAAACAGGGUCCCCCAGAGGAUGAGUCAGAUAAGCCCGGAAUCAACCUCUCUCUGUCAUUGGCAGACCAAUCCAAUAGCCAGCAUCAAGCAGAAUUUAAUUCAGAUUUGGAUUCCCUUAUCCAACCCAUUGGCAGAGACUUGUCAAUUAGUUGUCUCAUCCGAUGCUCAAGGUCGGAUUAUGGUUUUAUUGCUUCGCUAAAUCGAAGCUUUCGUUCGAUAAUUCAGAGUGGUGAGCUCUACAGAGAAAGGCGGAAGAACGGGGUUAUUGAACACUGGAUUUAUUUUUCUUGUCAACUUCUUGAAUGGGAAGCUUUUGAUCCAAUUCACCAUCGUUGGAUGCGAUUGCCAACAAUGACCUUCAAUGAAUGCUUCAUGUGUUCAGAUAAGGAGUCUUUGGCUGUGGGCACUGAACUUCUUGUAUUUGGGAAGGAGGUGAUGUCCCACGUUAUUUAUAAGUACAGCAUUUUAACAAACUCAUGGUCUUCUGGAAUGAGUAUGAACGCGCCAAGAUGCUUGUUUGGGUCUGCCAGCCUGGGGGAGAUUGCAAUUUUAGCUGGUGGUUGUGAUUCACAGGGAAACAUCUUGAGCUCUGCAGAACUUUAUAACUCCGAGACAGGAGCUUGGGAGAUGCUACCAAGCAUGAAUAAACCGAGGAAGAUGUGUUCUGGGGUAUUUAUGGAUGGCAAGUUUUAUGUCAUUGGGGGAAUUGGAGGAAGUGACUCAAAGCCCCUUCCAUGCGGAGAGGAGUAUAAUUUGCAGACAAGAGUUUGGACUGAAAUUUCUGACAUGUCCCCUGUACGAAGUGGUGCACCCAGGGAGAAUGAGACUGCUGCAGCUGAGGCUCCUCCUCUAGUAGCAGUAGUAAACAAUGAAUUAUAUGCAGCUGAUUAUGCAGACAUGGAGGUGAGGAAAUAUGAAAAGGAGAGUAGACUGUGGCUUACAGUGGGGAGGUUGCCUGAACGGGCAGUAUCAAUGAAUGGUUGGGGUCUUGCAUUUAGAGCAUGUGGAGAUAAACUUGUUGUCAUUGGUGGACCCAGAGCUUUGGGCGAAGGGUUUAUAGAGCUCAAUUCAUGGGUCCCAAGUGAAGGGCCUCCACAGUGGAACGUGCUUGCUGUGAAGCAAUCGGGUAACUUUGUCUAUAAUUGUGCCGUGAUGGGAUGCUGAAGAGGUGGAUUUUGAUGGUACCAUGUGUACUAUAACAUGCCUCCCUCUGAAUGGGUCGCACAAGAUUGGUUUGUCCAUCUGCACCUGAUUCUUGCUAAUGGGUUCGGCUGUGACAUAUUCUUCUAGGGUGAACUGGCUUUGAUUUAUCCAUUAUGUAGAUCCUUCCUGAUUGAAAAUAUAAUUGGCUAGCCAGUUUCUGAUCUUCCAGAAUUAGGAUCUUAGUCUUAGGAUUAUCCAGUAUCAUAAAGGCAGCUUCAUUGUGUUGUAAUGGGUUCUCUUCUUUAUCUCGAUCAUUAUGACAUCUCAUAUUUGACGAUUACAGCCUGUAAUAUUUUCAUGAUUUGAGUAGGGAACUUGGAAGGGCUCAUUAACGUUUCCCUUUAGGUGAUAGGAUUCGUCUUUGGUAACCUUAUAAAAUGUUGUCUUCAUGCUCAACUUGUAAAUUUUUGAAGCUGGUGUGUUGGUGGAGCUUGCAGCAGCAUUGAAGAGUGGAAAUUGUGAAAAACAUUUAUUGUAACUCUAGGUUAGAGGUCUAUGAUACUGGGUUUGGGUUCAGUACUCCCCGACUUAAUCCGGACCUAGAGCAACUCAUGUUUAGGUGGUCCUUAAUGGCCUGCCCGUCCAGGACCGCUUAAGUGCAUCAGGGUAACCUUUGGAAGCUCUUAAUGGUCUCAGGCUCCUAUUGGCUUUGGAAGCU